rnacentral:rRNA from 1 species
CAGCGCCGGGCACAUGCAUGAUGAACGAGUGCUUCGGUGAUAGAGGCGCACGGGUGCGUAACGCGUGGGAAUCUGCCCCUUGGUUCGGAAUAACAGUUAGAAAUGACUGCUAAUACCGGAUAACGACGUAAGUCCAAAGAUUUAUCGCCGAGGGAUGAGCCCGCGUAGGAUUAGCUAGUUGGUGUGGUAAAGGCGCACCAAGGCGACGAUCCUUAGCUGGUCUGAGAGGAUGAUCAGCCACACUGGGACUGAGACACGGCCCAGACUCCUACGGGAGGCAGCAGUGGGGAAUAUUGGACAAUGGGCGAAAGCCUGAUCCAGCAAUGCCGCGUGAGUGAUGAAGGCCUUAGGGUUGUAAAGCUCUUUUACCCGGGAUGAUAAUGACAGUACCGGGAGAAUAAGCUCCGGCUAACUCCGUGCCAGCAGCCGCGGUAAU